CCAGUCAUAGUCCCAGACCAAACUCUUGAGAUCAUCCCCUCGGGCACGUGUUUCCUUGAACUACUUUUCCUCUUUUUGCAUAGCUUUCCUCUGUGCCCUGAUCACCGCGACAGUGAACCUUGUCACCAAGAAAUACGAGCAACUUUCUUCGUUCCACAGUUUCCUAGGCCCUUCCAUCAACCUGAGAAGCCUAUCCCUAUUUGACAUCGGAGACGGCCC
rnacentral:lncRNA from 1 species